GGAGGAAGCACACCAAACGCAUCACAUGCUAGAAGUAUGACAUUCUUUGGGUGUGGACCAACGCAAGGUAUCUUUGCAUUGGGAAUGUACUCAAUGGGAUAGGCUGCACGAGUGUUCUCUGUGAUAUCAAGAAGAAAACAGUAAUAAAAAUAGAUGAGCCCCAUGUGGCGAGUUCGCCUAGGGCCUUCAAACGUAUAGGGUUGGCCCUGUCAAAAUAUCAAGGUCACGUCCAAUCCCAGUGCGCACUCUAGCUACCACCGGAUGAUGCGGGACAACAAAACCAGUGGAGGCCAGGACAAAGUUGCAGCUAGCUAGCAACAGAUCGGAGGCAGUUUCGGUCAAAUUGGACAAACGGACAACAAAGAAGCCAUCAUCCCCCCGCCUUCUUAAUCAGAUAAGAAGAUUGUCCAUCCCAAUGCCUGCCCUUUUCGGCCUCGAAUGUGGUGAUGAUUAUCUUGACCCGUGUCAAGCACACAAACGUACAAGUGUUUCUUUUUUGUUUUCCAUUUUUUUGGUUCGAGGGGUCAGUGUAUCCGAACUAGCUUGCGUGUACUUCGACUAUUCUCUUUUCAGGUCUAGUCAAAAGGCAUCCACGGAGCAGGGAGCCCCAAGAGGUUGCCAAGUUACUAGAUAGAGUUUUUCUGCUGCCUUUCUUUUGCAAUUUUAGGGCAUAACUGAAACGGUAGUAGUUGUUAGUUAUACCUUGUCCAGAGAGUUCAAGUAAUCGACAGCCCUUUCUCUAUUCACCAUGAAAGUGUGCUCGUCCAUUUCAAUGUUUGG